rnacentral:rRNA from 1 species
GAUGAACGCUGGCGGCGUGCCUAAUACAUGCAAGUCGAGCGAACAGACGAGGAGCUUGCUCCUCUGACGUUAGCGGCGGACGGGUGAGUAACACGUGGAUAACCUACCUAUAAGACUGGGAUAACUUCGGGAAUCCGGCGCUAAUACCGUAUAAUAUAUUGAACCGCAGUGUUCAAUAGUGAAAGACGGUUUUGCUGUCACUUAUAGAUGGAUCCGCGCCGCAUUAGCUAGUUGGUAAGGUAACGGCUUAGCAAGGCAACGAUGCGUAGCCGACGUGAGAGGGUGAUCGGCCACACUGGAACUGGGACACGGUCAAGAGUCCUACGGGACGCAGCAGUAGGGAAUCUUCGGCAAUGGUGGAAAGCCUGACGGAGCAACGCCGCGUGAGUGAUGAAGGUCUUCGGAUCGUAAAACUCUGUUAUUAGGGAAGAACAAAUGUGUAAGUAACUAUGCACGGCUUGACGGUAACUAAUAAGAAAGCCACGGCUAACUACGUG